AACGAACGCUGGCGGCAGGCUUAACACAUGCAAGUCGAGCGCCCCGCAAGGGGAGCGGCAGACGGGUGAGUAACGCGUGGGAAACUACCCAUCUCUACGGAAUAACGCAUGGAAACGUGUGCUAAUACCGUAUACGUCCUUAGGGAGAAAGAUUUAUAGGAGAUGGAUGAGCCCGCGUUGGAUUAGCUAGUUGGUGGGGUAAAGGCCUACCAAGGCGACGAUCCAUAGCUGGUCUGAGAGGAUGAUCAGCCACACUGGGACUGAGGCACGGCCCAGACUCCUACGGGAGGCAGCAGUGGGGAAUAUUGGACAAUGGGCGCAAGCCUGAUCCAGCCAUGCCGCGUGAGUGAUGAAGGCCCUAGGGUUGUAAAGCUCUUUCACCGGUGAAGAUAAUGACGGUAACCGGAGAAGAAGCCCCGGCUAACUUCGUGCCAGCAGCCGCCGUAACAC
rnacentral:rRNA from 1 species